rnacentral:lncRNA from 1 species
GUGGUGCUACUGCCGCUGCUGACGCAGGGUGCAGUGGCGGCGGUGGCGCAGGCGGCGGCGGCGGGCGCUGUGGCUGCUGCCGCUGUUGCUGCUGGCUGGCAAUGAGGCGAUCUACCUCAGAGCCCUGGAGCAAGCAAGGGGCCAGGUGGGUGGGUGUGUAUGUGGUGAGAUACUUGGAUUUGGGGUGGGGGCAGAGCCGCUGGCUGUCCUGAGCGGCCCUCACUCCCAGCACACACACCCAGCACACACUCCCAGCACACAUUCCCAGCACACACUCCCAGCACACAUUCCCAGCGAACACGCACAUGCGCGCACUUCGUUCACUUUGUCUCCCACACGCGUGUGCGCUCGCCUCCCCCGCCCCUCACCGCCAUGUUCACGGGCAGUAUGACCGCCAGGCACCACACAGACAGGUACAGCGAUAUGUGCAGGCCUGGGGGGGGGGGGGGAGGGGAUGGGAGGGAGAUCAAUGGAAGCAGGGAAAGUCAGACAGCAGGGUGCAACAUCCGCGCCAACCAUACGGUCAGCUUUACCCAACCAACCCAACCAACCAUCCAACCAACUCAAUCCACUCAACCCACACACACACAUACCCACACGCACCCACCCAGCUUCAAUGCGUUGAGGUACUGCGCGCCGUCGCUGCCCGCCAGCUGCCGCACCCGCUCCGGCGGCAGUCGCCACAGCUGCCACAGCCACGCCCACCACCGCAGCCGCGGGGGGCGCGGCCGCAGCGGCGUGCCCGGACCGCCAUCGGCGCCGCCGCCGCCGCCGUAGGCCACCGCGGCAGAGGCGUACCUGGCGGCGGGGGCGUGUGUGUGUGUGUGUGUGUGUGUGUGUGUGUGUGUGUGUGUGUGUGUGUGUGUGUGUGUGUGUGUGUGUGUGUGUGUGUGUGUGUGUGUGUGUGUGUAUGUGUGUGUGUGUGUGUGUUACGCACCAAACACAAGUCCAAGUCCCCGUGGGCGUGGCGACAUUCCCACCACGAAAACCGUAACCGAAUGGCAUCAGCUUUCCCGUGCCUCCUCCCUCCACCCCCUCCCUUACCCCCGCCUUCUCUCCCGCUUCCCCCUUCUGCGCGCCCCCGCCUUAUCCAGGCCCUAUCAUCGGCAGCCCCUCCCCUCCGCGCAUGUCUUCAUUCCCUCGCCCGCCGCCCCCAGCCAGCCACCUCCGGGGUGCGUAGAAGCGGCGUGUGGGCCGCACCGCCCGCAGC